GCUGGGUGCAGCAGCACACACCUGUAAUCCUAGCAACUCAGGAGGCUGAGGCAGGAGGGUUGUAAAUUUGAGACAAGUCUUGGCAAUUUGGUGAGGUCCUAAGCAAUUUAGCAAGAUCCUGUCUCAA
rnacentral:sRNA from 1 species